rnacentral:rRNA from 1 species
GAGUGGCGGACGGGUGAGUAACACAUGGGUACCUACCCCACAGUGAGGGAUACCGGCGAGAAAUCGCCGACAAUACCGCAUAGGCUUCUCUGUCGAGAGAGAGGGAAGCAAAGUGACGCAAGUCACGCUGGGGGAUGGGCCUGUGGCCGAUUAGCUAGUUGGGGGGGUAAUGGCCUCCCAAGGCGACGAUCGGUAGCUGGUCUGAGAGGACGAUCAGCCACACUGGGAUUGAGAACGGCCCAGACUCCUACGGGGGGCAGCAGUGAGGAAUUUUCCGCAAUGGAGGCAACUCUGACGGAGCAACGCCGCGUGCAUGAGGAAGGUUUUCGGAUCGUAAACUGCUUUUCUCGGGGACGAGCAAGGACGGUACCCGAGGAAGAAGCCCCGGCUAACUACGUGCCAGCAGCCGCGGUAAUACGUAGGGGGCAAGCGUUGUCCGGAUUUAUUGGGCGUAAAGCGCACGCAGGCGGAGCGGGAAGUUUGGGGUGACAGCGUUCGGCUUAACCGGGCGAGUGUCCCAAA